UUGAAUUGAAGAGUUUGAUCAUGGCUCAGAUUGAACGCUGGCGGCAGGCUUAACACAUGCAAGUCGAACGGUAGCAGGAGAAAGCUUGCUUUCUUGCUGACGAGUGGCGGACGGGUGAGUAAUGCUUGGGAAUCUGGCUUAUGGAGGGGGAUAACGACGGGAAACUGUCGCUAAUACCGCGUAUUAUCGGAAGAUGAAAGUGCGGGACUGAGAGGCCGCAUGCCAUAGGAUGAGCCCAAGUGGGAUUAGGUAGUUGGUGGGGUAAAGGCCUACCAAGCCUGCGAUCUCUAGCUGGUCUGAGAGGAUGACCAGCCACACUGGAACUGAGACACGGUCCAGACUCCUACGGGAGGCAGCAGUGGGGAAUAUUGCGCAAUGGGGGGAACCCUGACGCAGCCAUGCCGCGUGAAUGAAGAAGGCCUUCGGGUUGUAAAGUUCUUUCGGUAUUGAGGAAGGUUGAUGUGUUAAUAGCACAUCAAAUUGACGUUAAAUACAGAAGAAGCACCGGCUAACUCCGUGCCAGCAGCCGCGGUAAUACGGAGGGUGCGAGCGUUAAUCGGAAUAACUGGGCGUAAAGGGCACGCAGGCGGUUAUUUAAGUGAGGUGUGAAAGCCCUGGGCUUAACCUAGGAAUUGCAUUUCAGACUGGGUAACUAGAGUACUUUAGGGAGGGGUAGAAUUCCACGUGUAGCGGUGAAAUGCGUAGAGAUGUGGAGGAAUACCGAAGGCGAAGGCAGCCCCUUGGGAAUGUACUGACGCUCAUGUGCGAAAGCGUGGGGAGCAAACAGGAUUAGAUACCCUGGUAGUCCACGCUGUAAACGCUGUCGAUUUGGGGGUUGGGGUUUAACUCUGGCGCCCGUAGCUAACGUGAUAAAUCGACCGCCUGGGGAGUACGGCCGCAAGGUUAAAACUCAAAUGAAUUGACGGGGGCCCGCACAAGCGGUGGAGCAUGUGGUUUAAUUCGAUGCAACGCGAAGAACCUUACCUACUCUUGACAUCCUAAGAAGAGCUCAGAGAUGAGCUUGUGCCUUCGGGAACUUAGAGACAGGUGCUGCAUGGCUGUCGUCAGCUCGUGUUGUGAAAUGUUGGGUUAAGUCCCGCAACGAGCGCAACCCUUAUCCUUUGUUGCCAGCGA
rnacentral:rRNA from 1 species